rnacentral:rRNA from 1 species
GAUGAACGCUGGCGGCGUGCCUAAUACAUGCAAGUCGAGCGAACAGACGAGGAGCUUGCUCCUCUGACGUUAGCGGCGGACGGGUGAGUAACACGUGGAUAACCUACCUAUAAGACUGGGAUAACUUCGGGAAACCGGCGCUAAUACCGGAUAAUAUACUGAACCGCAUUGUUCAAUAGUGAAAGACGGUUUUGCUGUCACUUAUAGAUGGAUCCGCGCCGCAUUAGCUAGUUGGUAAGGUAACGGCUUACCAAGGCAACGAUGCGUAGCCGACCUGAGAGGGUGAUCGGCCACACUGGAACUGAGACACGGUCUACACUACUUCGAGAGGGAGCAGGAGGGAAUCUGCCGCAAUAGGCGGAAACCUGACGGAGCAACGCCACGUGAGUGAUGAAGAUCUUGGGAUCGUAAAACUCUGUUAUUAGGUAAGAACAAAUGUGUAAGUAACUAAGCACGUCUUGACGGUAGCCAAUCAGAAAGCCGCGGCUAACUACGUG